AGUGAACGCUGGCGGUAGGCCUAACACAUGCAAGUCGAACGGCAGCACAGUAAGAGCUUGCUCUUACGGGUGGCGAGUGGCGGACGGGUGAGGAAUACAUCGGAAUCUACUUUUUCGGGGGGGAUAACGUAGGGAAACUUACGCUAAUACCGCAUACGACCUACGGGUGAAGGCAGGGGAUCUUCGGACCUUGCGCGAUUGAAUGAGCCGAUGUCGGGUUAGCUAGUUGGCGGGGUAAAGGCCCACCAAGGCGACGAUCCGUAGCUGGUCUGAGAGGAUGAUCAGCCACACUGGAACUGAGACACGGUCCAGACGCCUACGGGAGGCAGCAGUGGGGAAUAUUGGACAAUGGGCGCAAGCCUGAUCCAGCCAUACCGCGUGGGUGAAGAAGGCCUUCGGGUUGUAAAGCCCUUUUGUUGGGAAAGAAAAGCAGCAGGUUAAUACCCCGCUGUUCUGACGGUACCCAAAGAGUAAGCACCGGCUAACUUCGUG
rnacentral:rRNA from 1 species